UAACUUACGCUAUUUCCGAGCGGCGUGUCUUUUAUGAUGGCAGUGUAGCGUUACUGUUCGUCAGGAACAACGACAGCUUUAAGAUUUCACACAGGAGUUAUUCAGGGAGAAAAGCACGGUGCGAGACUAGAAAGAACAUUGCUAUAUUUUCUUAGACAACGUGGUAUUUGAUAUUUUUGAAUUGCUGCACAGGUGUUGAAAUGUGGAGUACCAUUACAGCCAUUCUACAUCAAGUUGAUACUUAAAAUCGGUGCAAACAGAAGCCAAAAAAACCAGACAGACCUUACAUUCCACUGCCGCUCAAAACACGACAUAUGUUAACGCGAUAUUGCACAACGGCAAUAAUCUAUGGUUACAGCGAUGCAGGGAAAAAGUAGCUCCUAGAUUGAGUGAAAGAUUUUGAUGACACUGGCUUACAGCCAACAGAAAGAUGACCAAGGUGAUAGUUUUUGUAACGUUCAUCUGUCACUGUCUGCUGAUGAGUGUUGAUAGCUACUAUCGGUCGACUGUAUAAUCAACUGAUACACGCAUCAAAACAGAAGAAAUAAGCCACUUGAG